rnacentral:lncRNA from 1 species
UUUUCUUUAACAAUCUCAAUUACGGGCCGUCCCCAUAUCCUGUCCGGUAUGAGCACCAAAUUAUCAAAUCUCAAUACCCCGUCCGGUAUGAGUGUGAAGCGGGCCGGCCCCAUGCCCUGUCCAGUAUGAGCACCAAAUUAUCAAGUCUCCAUACCCCGUUCGGUAUGAGACAACGUUCACGGUAGAGUUCCCUGUGUACCCGGUCUGUCCACUAUCUCCUAGGAUAUCUAGUAAGGCUGCCAUUCCAUCUGUUUAUUUAAUCACACAACUUUUCCAUUUUCCUUUAGUCUCCAUUUUCCAAAUCUGUAACGGCCCCGGAAAUUUAAAUGAAAUGUAUGUAUUAAAAAUCUCAAAUGCGGAAGCGUAAUAAAAAUUUUGAUUAACAUUCCUU